UACGUAGGGUCCGAGCGUUGUCCGGAAUUACUGGGCGUAAAGAGCUCGUAGGUGGAUUGUCGCGUUGUCCGUGAAAACUCACAGCUUAACUGUGGGCGUGCGGGCGAUACGGGCAGACUGGAGUACUGCAGGGGAGACUGGAAUUCCUGGUGUAGCGGUGGAAUGCGCAGAUAUCAGGAGGAACACCGGUGGCGAAGGCGGGUCUCUGGGCAGUAACUGACGCUGAGGAGCGAAAGCGUGGGGAGCGAACAGG
rnacentral:rRNA from 1 species